GCCGGGCGCUAUGGCUCAUGCCUGUAAUCCCAGCACUUUGGGAGGCCAAGGCAGGAGGAUCACCUGAGGUCAGGAGUUCGAGACCAGCCUGCCCAACAUGGUGAAACCCCAUCUCUACUAAAAAUACAAGAUUAGCGGGGUGUGGUGGUGCAUGCCUGUAAUCCCAGCUACUCAGGAGGCUAAGGUGGGCCACCACGCCCAGGUAAUUUUUUAUAUUUUUGGUAGAGAUGGGGUUUAUCAUGUUGGCCAGGCUGGUCUCGAACUCCUGACCUCAGGUGAUCCACCCACCUC
rnacentral:SRP_RNA from 1 species